rnacentral:rRNA from 1 species
AGUAACGGAUGGGAUCGCGAAUCCUGUGGCGAGGGCAUUCAGGGUCGAGGACUGUCRCGUUCGAAGGCCGGUCUUGCCGGUCUCGAGAAGUGGCCAGCUUCCUGCAUUGCUCUCGUCCGGAGGAYGCUGCAGCGGUCGGGUCUCUUUCAAGAUCUCGGGAAGGACGGGCGUUUGCAGGUGGUCGGUGGCGUGCCUUCGGGCACGCCGUCGGCUUUAGAGCUUGCUCGUCCGACGAAGAUCACCCGACCGAGGUGUCGUUAGCCUUUCGGGGCUCUUGCGUCUCCCAGGUUCGUGUUCAGAAGCUUCUCGCAGGCUGAAUCCCCCUGCGUCGCACCGGCUAACCGUGUGGACGAUYGGCRGGAAGACUGUCGUUGGCGUGGCKUGCUCGGUGGAGACUUUCGGCUGGCAGCGAAGUCUCGGAUUCCCACCCGACCUCUUGAAACACGGACCAAGGAGUCUAACMUGUGCGAGUCGUCGGGACUUGUACAUGCCCGCAGGCGCAGAGAAGUCGACGAAGUGCGAUUCGUCGCACUGUGUUGGGAUCCUCCGUUUGGGGGCGCACCAACGMCCCGUCUCCUUCGAUUUUCGAUGGGACGGAGUUYGAGCGUACACGUUGGGACCCGAUAGAUGGUGAACUAUGCCUGGACAGGACGAAGCCAGGGGAAACCCUGGUGGAGGUCCGCAGCGGUUCUGACGUGCAAAUC